GACGAACGCUGGCGGCGCGCCUAACACAUGCAAGUCGAACGGAGUCAAGAGGAGCUUGCUUUUCUUGACUUAGUGGCGAACGGGUGAGUAACGCGUGAGUAACCUGCCCUGGAGUGGGGGACAACAGUUGGAAACGACUGCUAAUACCGCAUAAGCCCACGGAUCCGCAUGGAUCUGCGGGAAAAGGAUUUAUUCGCUUCAGGAUGGACUCGCGUCCAAUUAGCUAGUUGGUGAGGUAACGGCCCACCAAGGCGACGAUUGGUAGCCGGACUGAGAGGUUGAACGGCCACAUUGGGUCUGAGACACGGCCCAGACUCCUACGGGAGGCAGCAGUGGGGGAUAUUGCACAAUGGGGGAAACCCUGAUGCAGCGACGCCGCGUGGAGGAAGAAGGUUUUCGGAUUGUAAACUCUUGUCGUUAGGGACGAUAAUGACGGUACCUAACAAGAAAGCACCGGCUAACUACGUG
rnacentral:rRNA from 1 species